CUUGUCUAUUUCUGGGAAAUCAGCAUUUGCACUUGUACAAAACUGAUUAGAGUUUCUGGUCUUUGGAAAAUCUUUCUAUGAUUAUAGAUUGGCAAAUUCUGUCCUGGGCAGACAAUUUAACGUAAGACGAAAGAUCCGAGAAGAUUUUUGCGUGGCCUUUUGAGAUUGGGCUUGAGGAUCCAAGACUGCAAUUUUCAUUUUUUAGUGCUUUGUUGGAUUGCUAAAGAUUUGUUGGGUUGUGAUUUGUUUGGUCGAUUUUUUUGAGACCUAAUUAACUCUUUUGCUGCCUAUGAAAUCGAAUCAUCCAUCGUAUAAUUUUCUUUUUAAAGUUUUGAUUUCAAAAGCCACACUCAGAUUAGUGAAACCAGAUGGGCAAACUCUUGAUCACAUUGAAAACGUUGAAAUACCUGAAAGUAUAUUAAUCGGUUUGAAUAUGUUGUAUUCUUGAAUGCCAUUAGGUUUUUGGUGAGAAAGGGAAAGGAUUUGGACGGUCUGAAAUUGCUAAAACAAAUGAAGAUGAAUGACACAAAGCUGGAUGUAAUGUGCUACACUUUGGUACUUGAUGAGCUGAUUCACAAUAGGGAUUUUUAUUUUUUACUUUUAGAGCACACAAAGUGUUCGAUGAAUUGCUUCUUUCAGGGUGAAUGGUUUGUCUUCAAAAGCAGUUGAACUGCUGGAGGUGGGAAACGAUGCUGCACCAGGGGCAAGAACAUGGCAAGCACAGAUUCAAGGUCCUAGAUGUUGAGAAGAUUGAUGAAUUGGCCAAAAUUCAAGCUAAAGAAUUACAGAUUGAAAGUAAUUGUUGUGGAUCCCGGGAUUCGAGCUCCAGGCUUAAUCCAGUGCAAUCACCAGGCCAUGAAUGGUGUAUAUUUUCUCAGGAGCUGGCCUCCCUGGAUCCCCCAAGAAUCUAACAAAUUGUGGAAUGAGACAGGUGUGUAUCUCUUGAUUGUCUACUUUAUUACAUAAAUAUAGAAACACAUAUAUAUUCUUUUGACAUGGAUUUCCACUGCCUAGAAGUGAGUAAACAAUGGCAACAAUCAUUUAUGUAAAUGCAUAAUGUGUGUAUUUAUACAUGUCUUGGAAACCGUUCAAUUAGAUAUAUAUUUCCAGCGAAAAUGGCUGAUUCAGAGAUGUCAAUUUCCAAACUAUACUUGACAUCAUAAGAUCUAAGAAAAAUGAUUAAUAUUGUUGUGCAAUUAGUGGUUAAUGGGUUGUUAAGACCAUUCCCAUGGAUUAAGGAAAAAAGCAUAUGAGACAGGCACAAAAACCAGACAUGUCAUAUAAUUAAUUGGUAUGAUAGGGAAUGUAUUUCCAAACCACCUAAAAUUAAAUAUUAUUAAAUUAGUAGUAGUGGGAUGGAUUUUUAAGUGAUGGGAUGUAAGUAAAAACAUGGCCCUACUUCUCCUGGAUAUAAAAAAGUUGAACUUUAAUUAGAUAAUUAAAUUAGUAUAACCUUUCUUGUUGAUUCCCACUUCACUGUCCUGUUAAUGUGACUUGAGUCAUGUAGCAUUUGAAUUUUACAUAACCCAAAAAGAUUUAUUUCUUUUUAUAUUAUGGCCAAUUGGGAUGAUUAAUUAAUUAAACCACAAGACAGUACUAGAAGCUUAAUUAUUUAUUAGAACAGAAACCCUAAAAACCCUAUUUCUGAAAUCAAACUAAUUCAUAAUCUUGAUGUUAAUUACUACAACAAACUAUUAUUUCUGACUUUUGUUUGCUGCAAUCUGAUUAUUUUUUUUGUCUUACAGUACUUGGAUUAGUUCCAAGUGGGAUUAAUUGAUCGAUUUUUAAAGUUUAUGAUCUUCUGAGAGCAUUCUAGGGUUUAUAGUGGGGAACAUUUUCACUGGUUAUAUGCCCAUUUUUGCUGAUAUAUGCAAUCAUCAUGAUGACACACACACACCAACAUUACUGCUCUUUUUCCACUGUCUUGUAAAUAAAUACUUUAAGAUUAGUGCACGAUAAUUAACUCAUCUUUGAAUUCUAAGCAUAAGACAAAUUUAAAAAGCUUUAUAUAAAUUUUUUUGAUCAAGAAAGUGACAGCCAUUAAACCCUAAUUUGAGUCUAAUCAUAUAUGAUCAA